GCCACCGUAGCUCAGCUGGGAGAGCAGCUGACUUGUAAUCAGCAGGUCGGGAGUUCAAAUCUCCCCGGUGGCU
rnacentral:tRNA from 1 species